UACGUAGGGGGCAAGCGUUAUCCGGAUUUACUGGGUGUAAAGGGAGCGUAGACGGCCAGACAAGUCAGAAGUGAAAGCCCGGGGCUCAACUCCGGGACUGCUUUUGAAACUGCCGGGCUGGAGUGCAGGAGAGGUAAGCGGAAUUCCUGGUGUAGCGGUGAAAUGCGUAGAUAUCAGGAGGAACACCAGUGGCGAAGGCGGCUUACUGGACUGUAACUGACGUUGAGGCUCGAAAGCGUGGGGAGCAA
rnacentral:rRNA from 1 species